GAUGAACGCUGGCGGCGCGCCUAACACAUGCAAGUCGAACGAUUAAAGCACCUUCGGGUGUGUAUAAAGUGGCGAACGGCUGAGUAACACGUGGGCAACCUGCCCCUCUCAUUGGGAUAGCCACGGGAAACCGUGGAUAAUACCGAAUACUUCGGGACUUCCGCAUGGAAGACUCGAGAAAGCUCCGGCGGAGAGGGUUGGGCCCGCGGCCUGUUAGCUUGUUGGUGGGGUAAUGGCCUACCAAGGCAAUGGCGGGGAGCUGGGUUGAGAGGCUGACCGGCCCCAGUGGGACUGAGAUACGGCCGAGACUCAGACGGGAGGCAGCAGUGGGGAAGGGUGAAAAAGGGGCGGAAGUCUGAUGCAGCAACGACGAGUGAGGGAGGAAGGGUUUCGGGGUGUAAAACGCUGUCAGCGGGGAAGAAGCGAAAGUGACGGUAAGUGAAAAAAAAGAACCGGCUAACUACGUG
rnacentral:rRNA from 1 species